AAGAGCCGUAUGAAAGGAGACUUUCACGUACGGUUCUGUGAGAAGUUUGAGGUGAAAGUCCUCUUGCUUACUUGAC
rnacentral:ncRNA from 1 species